GUGCUUCAUCGUAAUUAACCUUA
rnacentral:miRNA from 1 species